rnacentral:rRNA from 1 species
AUGGCUGAUCGCGUGGCCCUCUCCGGCUCCGGGGAGUCCAGCUCCAGAUCCACUGCACCUCGGCCGCCCCUGUGCUCGCUCAUCGUGCCGGUCGUGGGAUCUGCUUUCGGCCCCCUCCGGCCGAGUGGCCCGUCGGUGCCCGCGCCUGCAGACGCCCCUUGGCGGACGAAGCGGAGCUGCCGGGAGCGUGGCCGCCCUGCCCGGCCACGCGCUGAUGGCAGGCGUACGCUCCCUGCCGCCAGGCCGCCUCCCAACUCGCGGUUGACGGCGCAGUUCUUCGGCUGUUGCUACAACUGCGGUGAAGGCGAUCACAUCUCCCGCGAGUGCACCAAUCCAACCAAGUGCGUGCGCUGCGAGGGGGUGGGGCACAGCUCCAGGGACUGCCCUCUUCGCCGUGACUCCUCGGUGUCCGGUGGCAGCUCGCCUCACCCACCUCCUCCACGUCGCCAGCGCGUCUCCCCUCCCCCGCCCCUGGCUCAGGUAUGGCCUGCGCUGAGCGCCGCCCUUCCCCCGUCGCCGCCCCCGGGCCCCCCGCCGCCAGGCACUGUCCGGCUGGACCGCUCCUGGAGCCAGGUGGUGGCUGAGGCGUCCAACGAGGGCUCGGUGGACGGGCCUGCCUUCGACGUCCCCUUUGUCGGGCUCCCGCCGCGGGUGGAGGUCAUGCGUCUCCCGCCGGCGUAG